GAUGAACGCUGGCGGCGUGCCUAAUACAUGCAAGUCGAGCGAACAGACGAGGAGCUUGCUCCUCUGACGUUAGCGGCGGACGGGUGAGUAACACGUGGAUAACCUACCUAUAAGACUGGGAUAACUUCGGGAAACCGGAGCUAAUACCGGAUAAUAUAUUGAACCGCAUGGUUCAAUAGUGAAAGACGGUUUUGCUGUCACUUAUAGAUGGAUCCGCGCCGCAUUAGCUAGUUGGUAAGGUAACGGCUUACCAAGGCAACGAUGCGUAGCCGACCUGAGAGGGUGAUCGGCGACACUGGAACUGAGACACGGUCCAGACUACUACGGGAGGCAGCAGUAGGGAAUCUUCCGCAAUGGGCGAAAGCCUGACGGAGCAACGCCGCGUGAGUGAUGAAGGUCUUCGGAUCGUAAAACUCUGUUAUUAGGGAAGAACAAAUGUGUAAGUAACUAUGCACGUCUUGACGGUACCUAAUCAGAAAGCCACGGCUAACUACGUG
rnacentral:rRNA from 1 species